rnacentral:rRNA from 1 species
CAGUAGCCACGGUAAUACGAAGGGUGCAAGCGCUACUCGGAAUUACUGGGCGUAAAGCGUGCGUAGGUGGUGGUUUAAGUCCGUUGUGAAAGCCCUGGGCUCAACCUGGGAAUUGCAGUGGAUACUGGGUCACUAGAGUGUGGUAGAGGAUAGUGGAAUUUCCGGUGUAGCAGUGAAAUGCGUAGAGAUCGGAAGGAACAUCUGUGGCGAAGGCGACUAUCUGGGCCAACACUGACACUGAGGCACGAAAGCGUGGGGAGCAAACAGGAUUAGAUACCCCGGUAGUCCCUGUCUCUUAUAC